UACGUAGGGUGCGAGCGUUAAUCGGAAUUACUGGGCGUAAAGCGUGCGCAGGCGGUAAUGUAAGACAGUUGUGAAAUCCCCGGGCUCAACCUGGGAACUGCAUCUGUGACUGCAUUGCUGGAGUGCGGCAGAGGGGGAUGGAAUUCCGCGUGUAGCAGUGAAAUGCGUAGAUAUGCGGAGGAACACCGAUGGCGAAGGCAAUCCCCUGGGCCUGCACUGACGCUCAUGCACGAAAGCGUGGGGAGCAAACAGG
rnacentral:rRNA from 1 species